UGAGUAACCUGCCCUUAACUCUGGGAUAAGCCUGGGAAACUGGGUCUAAUACCGGAUAUGACUCCUCAUCGCAUGGUGGGGGGUGGAAAGCUUUUUGUGGUUUUGGAUGGACUCGCGGCCUAUCAGCUUGUUGGUGAGGUAAUGGCUCACCAAGGUGACGACGGGUAGCCGGCCUGAGAGGGUGACCGGCCACACUGGGACUGAGACACGGCCCAGACUCCUACGGGAGGCAG
rnacentral:rRNA from 1 species